AUCUGAUAAUGUGGCCAUUUAUGAAGCAGGUCCCUAAAGCGCUCCCAGGUCUCAUAGAAAAGUUCCCCAUCUGUUUGUAUGAAACUUGUGAUUGCCCUUCGCAGCGU